AAAGCCUUGCAAACACUAAUUGUUUCUACAUUGGUUCAAAUUAUCAUCUUCCUCCGAAUUGUUUCUUAAACUUUACUUUGAGCAAUUAAGCAGCUUCACGAUAUACUAGGAAUUUUCCCACAUUCAUCGGAUCAGCUAUUCCCAGAGCCUCACCAUUAUAAAGGGAAUUUCUGCAAAUCCAACAGAUCAGCUUUUGCCAGAGUGUUCAUUCUCUCCAAAGAAAGUGCUGAUUUUCUUUUAUUUUUUUAUUAUACACAUUUUUGGUUGAAAUAUAUAUGGCUUCCAUGUGGUUUUGACAUUUGUUCUUCUACUUUUAUAUGUUACCGAGUAGCUUCCAGGGCUGAGAUUUUACUUCCUGUUAUUCUAUUUUAGCCAUAGAUACUUGUUACUACCACUGCCAUAAAUAUUCUAUUUUACUUGCUUUUUGUUAAAUGUGCUUUUUCAAUACUUAAA